GCCUCAAGUUUUCACUGCAGCCCAAGGGUGUGCUGGGACCACAGAAAUCUCUGACCAAAGACCCAUUGCCCCAAGGAGCCAACUGGGUUAGACCUAGCCUUAGCAUCAUAUCAACUCUGGCCCCCACAUCAGUACCUGCUGAUACCCCUGAAGUUGCUGACGUACCUCCACCUGUCCCAGCCCCACCUACACCACCUCCCCAAGAAGGGCCAGAAGGCAGACCCACCAGAUUCUCCUAUAAAGGUCGAAACCCCUUCCGGAGGGGCCCCUAUAUGCUUUCAGGGUCUGUCCUCGGAGUUCGACAGCGACGAAUGAAGCUGAGUCAAGAGAUGCAGGGGGCAAGGCCCCUAAGAUCUGGCAUAGGGAUACUGGUUCCCAAUAAACAUCAGCUGCUGCACCCCCAAACC
rnacentral:lncRNA from 1 species